rnacentral:rRNA from 1 species
GCGGCGUGCUUAACACAUGCAAGUCGAACGAUGAAGCCCUUCGGGGUGGAUUAGUGGCGAACGGGUGAGUAACACGUGGGCAAUCUGCCCUGCACUCUGGGACAAGCCCUGGAAACGGGGUCUAAUACCGGAUACGAGCCUCCCGGGCAUCUGGGAGGUUGGAAAGCUCCGGCGGUGCAGGAUGAGCCCGCGGCCUAUCAGCUUGUUGGUGAGGUAACGGCUCACCAAGGCGACGACGGGUAGCCGGCCUGAGAGGGCGACCGGCCACACUGGGACUGAGACACGGCCCAGACUCCUACGGGAGGCAGCAGUGGGGAAUAUUGCACAAUGGGCGAAAGCCUGAUGCAGCGACGCCGCGUGAGGGAUGACGGCCUUCGGGUUGUAAACCUCUUUCAGCAGGGAAGAAGCGAAAGUGACGGUACCUGCAGAAGAAGCGCCGGCUAACUACGUGCCAGCAGCCGCGGUAAUACGUAGGGCGCAAGCGUUGUCCGGAAUUAUUGGGCGUAAAGAGCUCGUAGGCGGCUUGUCGCGUCGAUUGUGAAAGCCCGGGGCUUAACUCCGGGUCUGCAGUCGAUACGGGCAGGCUAGAGUGUGGUAGGGGAGAUCGGAAUUCCUGGUGUAGCGGUGAAAUGCGCAGAUAUCAGGAGGAACACCGGUGGCGAAGGCGGAUCUCUGGGCCAUUACUGACGCUGAGGAGCGAAAGCGUGGGGAGCGAACAGGAUUAGAUACCCUGGUAGUCCACGCCGUAAACGGUGGGCACUAGGUGUUGGCGACAUUCCACGUCGUCGGUGCCGCAGCUAACGC